rnacentral:rRNA from 2 species
GACAGAGGGUGCAAACGUUGUUCGGAAUUACUGGGCGUAAAGCGUGCGCAGGCGGUUCGUUAUGUCCGAUGUGAAAGCCCCGAGCUCAACUUGGGAAUGGCAUUGGAAACUGGCGGGCUGGAGUGUGGCAGAGGGGGGUGGAAUUCCACGUGUAGCAGUGAAAUGCGUAGAGAUGUGGAGGAACACCGAUGGCGAAGGCAGCCCCCUGGGCCAACACUGACGCUCAGGCACGAAAGCGUGGGGAGCAAACAGG